UCCCUUGUCUUUUUCUCUGCACUGCAGUACUGACCUGUAUUGUACUCUCAUAGGUUUUCUCAAACGGUCAUAAAGUUAAUUCCACCAUGAUCGCAGCUUAACCUCAUCUCUGGUUUAACCACCACAGACAAUUCAGGAUUUCAGGUUCAUUACAUAUGAUCUGAUCAAUUCUUUGCUUUGCUUUUGUCUUGGAGAUGCUGUAUGCUUCGACAGCAAAUAAUCAGUGUCAGAUGACAUAAUUGCAUCCCCACCAGCAGCCCUCGCUCGACUGGAUUUAGAUUCACCCAGAUGCGAACGGCUUUGUUUUCUUCAUCAAUUAGUAACCGUCUGUGAAUCUUGGCGCUUCUCUGUGAAGUAUGAGCAUUAGGAUGAGAUGAAUCAUGAAUGUUGGAAUGGAGUACAGAGUUCAACAUCUUGAAUUUCGAGUAAGCGAGCGUGCUGGAAGAAUUGUUUUGGUGAACUGAAUCGUGAUGGAAUUCCAAGUGACUGGCAGCUUCUCCGACAUCGAAUCAGGAUGAACGAUGUUGCAUAAAACCUAAUCAAUAGGAUAGUAUAAAUCAUUACCAAACACCACAAUGGAAAAUCCAAUUACAAAGACUCGUUUCAACACAUUUCCAACGGCAUGUGUAAGUGGUGCUACCCUUUCCAAUGUGUUUGUAGCUACCUGCAAUAUGGUUUGAGAUUUUGCAAUAUCUAAGAUAGUAACGUCGAUAAAUUACAUCAUAUAUAUAUAUAUAUAUGAUUAUUACCUGAUUGUACAAGUGGUAGAACAUCCCUAUCCAAAAUAGGUCAGACAAGAACUUAUAGACGCCAACUUUAGCAAUUGCAUCUUGGAAUCCAUGCUGCAUUAGUUGGGGACCUUCAAUCUGAAAGUGAAAUAAGCACAUAGGAACCUCGUCAACAUUAUCCCUAUAUAGUGUAAAUUUUCCAUUAUUACAUCAUAUUUUUGUUCAAGGGAUCUUACAAGUAUUGCAGGUGGAAGGCAAAACAGGAGUGCAAUUAUCGAAAUGUAAGCAUAGACGUUUGUGCUGUCCAUUCCUGUCUGCCAUGAACAAACAUCUGUGGUCUAAAGAAAUUCUGGUAUGGUUGCAUUCAGGAAAAAUCUUAUGAUACACUUGUAAAUGAUAGGGCUCACCAUUGCUUUCUUUGAGUAAAUACUUCUAUAGGUGAAUGCAAUAUUCGAAAUCAUUGCGCUAAUGAAGCCAGUCCAGUUGAAAGAAAGUUCUGUCAUUGACGCCAUUGAUACUCCUGAUAGGGGUUGAGGAGAUAUCAUCAAAACCAUGUAAACAGCUUGGCAUGGGACACAUUAUUUAGAGAUGCUUGGAACUUACCAAUCACAACAGGGGCUAGUGAGAGCCACAGAGACAAUGGAAUCUGGUGUCCUAAAACAAAUUGUGAAGCUGCAGCACUGAAAAAUGGUUCCAGGGCUGUUGAACAUGAAUUGGACAGAAUAUCCAGAUUUAGGCUUAAAAGAAACAGGGCGCACAUACAGAACUACCAAAAGACUCCAUUCAUCAGUCAACAGCUGCAAACGAUACGUUGGACAUAACGUGUCCAAGAGCAUGACAAAAUGCUACCGGAGUGAGAAGGCCUAAGAGCUCCCUGUCAACUGGCUGCUCAUGGUAGUCAUAUAUAUGAUAUCGGGUCGACAAAGAAAAUCAUUCUAAUGAAACGGUGAUGGAUAUGUAAUCUAAAUUCCGGUAAACUAACUCACAGCACGCUUUGGCAGACCAACAGCCCAGCUAACGAGACAAUAUGCUACUCCAACCAUAAGAUGAACAACAGAGACAAAACUGCACAAGGUAUCUGAUGAUGCAUAUAUUGAACUUGCAUAGAAGUAAGAAAAGCGGAUUAAUUUAGAUAUCAAAUGUCUUACUAUGGAUAGGGGAAGUAAUUGUAGACCUUCUUGUUUAGUAUAUUGAAUAUGACAUUCAGGAAAUACCUGCAUAUCAGCAGUACAAGUGAAAAAGAGCCCGAUUCCUAUAGAUGAGAUGUAUCCAAAAUCUCACCAUGUGAAGAAAAAGAAACCAGUGACGAGAGCUGGGAAUCUCUCUGAAAAGCUCUUGACAUGGGAACUCUCUGCAUCAGCAGCUGUGGCUUUUGGGGUGAAAAUUUGCGAGGAAUGGGGCCUGCUCUUCAAGAUUUCAGUGAAACCAGGAGUUCUCAAGUUCUUGCCAGAAAACUCAACAGAAUUGGUGCAGCUGCAUUUCUGCUAUGGAAUUUGUGGAAAGAAGAAGAAAGCCUUGAUUGAUGAAUCAAAGAGAAGUUGGAGAUUGAAGAAGCCAUGUCGAAAGUAUUGGGGUAUGAUGCCAAACUAGAGCUUGGCACCGGCUGAAAUUGAAUGCCCAGAGUUCUGAUUUAACUAGAAAAUUAAUCAGGUCAGAAACAAGAAACAGGGCCUAUGUAGGAACAAAAUGGAUCGUUGAAACCAAGGUUUGUUUAGCUAGACUCUGGAUAUGUCAAAGCCUCAAAGGUAAGAAAGGAUUCUUAAUCGAUCGAAACACCAGGUUAGAAUUCAGACAGCCACUGAGACUGUAGAGGGCUUUGAAAGAAUGAAAAUAACUAGUAACUGAACUCUUAAGUUCAAUUUCUGGUGAUUAUGAUCGGAGAGAGAGAGAGAGAGAGAUUUGAUCUCUCCUUAACAGAAGUUGUAUUUUCUUGAUUCCACGAUGCCUGACUUUCAACCUUUUUGGAAUUCUGAUUGCACUUAUUGGGAAA